UACGUAGGAGGCAAGCGUUGUCCGGAGUUACUGGGCGUAAAGCGCACGCAGGCGGUUCAGUCAGUCUGUAGGGACAGGGCACGGCUCAACCGUGUCAGGCUUACGGAAACUGCUGAACUUGAGGGCUUCAGAGGGACAUGGAACUCCAGGUGUAGUGGUGAAAUGCGUAGAUAUCUGGAAGAACACCAAAGGCGAAGGCAGUGUCCUGGGUGGUCGCUGACGCUGAGAGGCGAAAGCCAGGGGAGCGAACGGG
rnacentral:rRNA from 1 species